UUAAUAAAACAUUAUCAUAUUCCCGUUUUAUGUUUUCUUUAGCUACGACAAAUGAUGCCUAUGAUUAGAAUCCAUCAAUUCCAGGAAACUUCACAUGGCUGAAUGAAAAGUUGUACUGUAUUUCCUUAUGGUAGAUGUUCAAUACCAAUGCUAACAUCAACAAUGUAGGUCAAAGAAAUUUCCAAGAAAUCAUUAUGACAAACCCAAACCGCAGUUUCUAUAAUUAAUUGCUUUUUCGCUCGCCGCAAGGGAAUAACAAAUCAAGUUUGUUGUUUGUAUUUUGGUUUUAAUUUUGGCAUAUUGUUAUCACUAACGCAUUUCUUUAGAAAUUCUACAUUCUUUGGCAUUGACUUUGAAUGAAUUUUUUGAUUAGUAUAUUCCGGGGAUUUCUAGACCUCUGAUCUUAAAAACAAAAAAUACCGCAAAAUUUGUGUGAGACGCAUAACACCAAAUGUCAUCCCAAAUGGGUAAAUCCUAUGCAGAAGACAUUAAAAUCAA